rnacentral:rRNA from 1 species
AGUGAACGCUGGCGGUAGGCCUAACACAUGCAAGUCGAACGGCAGCACAGUAAGAGCCUGCUCUUACGGGUGGCGAGUGGCGGACGGGUGAGGAAUACAUCGGAAUCUACUUUUUCGUGGGGGAUAACGUAGGGAAACUUACGCUAAUACCGCAUACGACCUACGGGUGAAAGCAGGGGAUCUUCGGACCUUGCGCGAUUGAAUGAGCCGAUGUCGGAUUAGCUAGUUGGCGGGGUAAAGGCCCACCAAGGCGACGAUCCGUAGCUGGUCUGAGAGGAUGAUCAGCCACACUGGAACUGAGACACGGUCCAGACUCCUACGGGAGGCAGCAGUGGGGAAUAUUGGACAAUGGGCGCAAGCCUGAUCCAGCCAUACCGCGUGGGUGAAGAGGGCCUUCGGGUUGUAAAGCCCUUUUGUUGGGAAAGAAAAGCAGCAGGUUAAUACCCCGCUGUUCUGACGGUACCCAAAGAAUAAGCACCGGCUAACUUCGUG